rnacentral:rRNA from 1 species
UGGGGAAUAUUGGACAAUGGGCGAAAGCCUGAUCCAGCCAUGCCGCGUGUGUGAAGAAGGUCUUCGGAUUGUAAAGCACUUUAAGUUGGGAGGAAGGGCAGUAAGCGAAUACCUUGCUGUUUUGACGGUACCGACAGAAUAAGCACCGGCUAACUCUGUGCCAGCAGCCGCGGUAAUACAGAGGGUGCAAGCGUUAAUCGGAAUUACUGGGCGUAAAGCGCGCGUAGGUGGUUCGUUAAGUUGAAUGUGAAAGCCCCGGGCUCAACCUGGGAACUGCAUCCAAAACUGGCGGGCUAGAGUAGGGGAGAGGUUGGUGGAAUUUCCUGUGUAGCGGUGAAAUGCGUAGAUAUAGGAAGGAACACCAGUGGCGAAGGCGACCACCUGGGCUCAUACUGACACUGAGGUGCGAAAGCGUGGGGAGCAAACAGG